rnacentral:rRNA from 1 species
UACGUAGGGUGCAAGCGUUAAUCGGAAUUACUGGGCGUAAAGCGUACGCAGGCGGCUUUGCAAGACAGGUGUGAAAUCCCCGGGCUUAACCUGGGAAUGGCGCUUGAAACUACGGGACUGGAGUAUGGCAGAGGGAGGUGGAAUUCCACGUGUAGCGGUGAAAUGCGUAGAGAUGUGGAGGAACACCGAUGGCGAAGGCAGCCUCCUGGGCCAAUACUGACGCUCAUGCACGAAAGCGUGGGGAGCAAACAGG